rnacentral:rRNA from 1 species
UCAGUAGCCGACCUGAGAGGGUGACCGGCCACAUUGGGACUGAGACACGGCCCAAACUCCUACGGGAGGCAGCAGUGGGGAAUAUUGCACAAUGGGGGAAACCCUGAUGCAGCGACGCCGCGUGAGCGAUGAAGUAUUUCGAUAUGUAAAGCUCUAUCAGCAGGGAAGAAAAUGACGGUACCUGACUAAGAAGCACCGGCUAAAUACGUGCCAGCAGCCGCGGUAAU